GGGGUUGUGGCUCAGUGGCAGAGUGCAUGCCUAGCAUGUGUGAGGCACUGGGUUCAAUUCUCAGCAAUGCAU
rnacentral:tRNA from 1 species